AUUGAACGCUGGCGGCAUGCCUUACACAUGCAAGUCGAACGGCAGCACGGGUGCUUGCACCUGGUGGCGAGUGGCGAACGGGUGAGUAAUAUAUCGGAACGUACCUUAUUGUGGGGGAUAACGCAGCGAAAGCUGUGCUAAUACCGCAUAAUCCCUAAGGGGGAAAGCGGGGGACCGUAAGGCCUCGCGCAAUUAGAGCGGCCGAUACCUGAUUAGCUAGGUGGUGAGGUAAAGGCUCACCAAGGCAACGAUCAGUAGCUGGUCUGAGAGGACGAUCAGCCAAACUGGGACUGAGACACGGCCCAGACUCCUACGGGAGGCAGCAUUGGGGAAUUUUGGACAAUGGGGGCAACCCUGAUCCAGCAAUGCCGCGUGAGGGAAGAAGGCCUUCGGGUUGUAAAGCUCUUUUGUCAGGGUAGAAACAGCAGCUCUAACACAGUAUGCGAAUGACGGUACCUGAAGAAUAAGCACCGGCUAACUACGUGCCAGCCGCCGCAGUAA
rnacentral:rRNA from 1 species